AAAAAUAAAACUAUAAUGGAAAGUUACUGACACAAUAUUCGGCUGAUUAGAUAACAUAGUACAACUGCAUUUAUGGUGGAGAAACGUUUUCAGUAUGUAACUAUGUAAACAUCUGCGGUUAGAAAGUUAACAAAAAAAAAAAAAACGCUGUACGAACUUUGUGGAGAGAAAGAGACAGAUAUCCGAAAGCGAAGUUAUUGAAGGAUAGAGAUGUUUUUCGAAAUUUUAUUUGUUUUGCAUUAAACGUAAACCAAUUCGUAGACAGAGAUUG
rnacentral:lncRNA from 1 species